CUUCCUUUUUCCGCUUUUGAGACAACGGGGGCGUGUUCACGGCUAUCAUAUGGAUCACUGACCUAAUAAGGGUGAAAUUUUCAUUACCGAGUGGAUAAAAGCAGCAAUCUUUCUUUACAUGAGGCUUCUUUAGGACCUAGGCUACUGAACGAUUUUAGCCCACCAGAGAUUUUUAAAUGUCGACGUAGAGCACAAAAUACAUUUGAUCUAAAGACUUGUCAGUGCAGACCCAGCUCUGGUCAGGGUGGAUGUGAUGCGGUGUGACUGGAGACGAUCGAUGGUGGCGUGGAUGUCAAGUAAUCUGAGGCUGGUGACCUGCUUCACAGUCCCUCGGACAUCAGCCAAGGUGUCCUCAGGAAAAUAAAAUGUUUAGGGGGAGUUUGGAAGCAGCAGUGUUCAGAUUUUGGCUGCUACAGUACAUCCAUUUUUUACCUGGAAAUAAUGCUG